rnacentral:rRNA from 1 species
CUCAACGCUCCUCUGGUGACCUCUCUUGCUGAUCGGUGGAGGCCAGAGAUGCACAGUUUCCAUCUUCGGACUGGGGAGAUGACCGUGACGCUCGAGGAUGUCGCCUUGAUCACCGGGCUUCCUAUCGAUAGGAGGCCUCUAUGUAUGAGCACCGAUUCUGAUGGGUGGCGCGAGCAGAUGAUUGCUCUUAUUGGUAUGGCUCCUACCGAGGCUGAGGCUGAUGUAGAGAAGGGAGAAGAGCAGAAGGAGGAGGAAAGGAAAGCAGCUGGAGCUGCUUUCACGUGGAUUCAAGCAAACUUUGCGCAUUGCCCUGUGGAUGCCACUGAUGAUGUGAUACAGACACAUGCUCAUGUCUAUAUGUGGUACGUUGUCUUGAGGACUUUGUUUCCUGACUCGACAAGCAAGAACGCUCCAUGGAUGUGGCUGAAGGCGUUUACCAUCUUCAUAGCGGAUGGAGCUGGGGUCUAG